UACGAAGGGUGCAAGCGUUAAUCGGAAUUACUGGGCGUAAAGGGCGCGUAGGCGGCCACUGCAAGUCGACUGUGAAAUCUCCGGGCUUAACCCGGAAAGGUCAGCCGAUACUGCAGGGCUAGAGUGCAGAAGGGGCAACUGGAAUUCUCGGUGUAGCGGUGAAAUGCGUAGAUAUCGAGAGGAACACCUGCGGCGAAGGCGGGUUGCUGGGCUGACACUGACGCUGAAGUGCGAAAGCUAGGGGAGCGAACGGG
rnacentral:rRNA from 1 species